rnacentral:rRNA from 1 species
UUGCUCCCUGAUGUUAGCGGCGGACGGGUGAGUAACACGUGGGUAACCUGCCUGUAAGACUGGGAUAACUCCGGGAAACCGGGGCUAAUACCGGAUGGUUGUCUGAACCGCAUGGUUCAGACAUAAAAGGUGGCUUCGGCUACCACUUACAGAUGGACCCGCGGCGCAUUAGCUAGUUGGUGAGGUAACGGCUCACCAAGGCGACGAUGCGUAGCCGACCUGAGAGGGUGAUCGGCCACACUGGGACUGAGACACGGCCCAGACUCCUACGGGAGGCAGCAGUAGGGAAUCUUCCGCAAUGGACGAAAGUCUGACGGAGCAACGCCGCGUGAGUGAUGAAGGUUUUCGGAUCGUAAAGCUCUGUUGUUAGGGAAGAACAAGUGCCGUUCAAAUAGGGCGGCACCUUGACGGUACCUAACCAGAAAGCCACGGCUAACUACGUGCC